rnacentral:rRNA from 1 species
AAUUCGCCCUUAGAGUUUGAUCCUGGCUCAGGAUGAACGCUGGCGGCGUGCCUAAUACAUGCAAGUCGAACGGUCGUAGCAAUACGAUAGUGGCGUCCGGGUGCGUAACACGUAGCUGAUUUGCCCGUUAGCGGGGGAUAACGUCCCGAAAGGGACGCUAAUGCCGCGUAAGCUCUGGGGAUUUAGAAACCUCAGAGGAAAGCCUUUGGGCGCUGACGGAGAAGGCUGCGGUCCAUCAGGUAGUUGGUGAAGUAACGGCUCACCAAGCCGACGACGGAUAGGGGACCUGAGAGGGUGACCCCCCACACUGGAACUGACACACGGUCCAGACUCCUACGGGAGGCAGCAGUAAGGGAUAUUGCACAAUGGGCGCAAGCCUGAUGCAGCAACGCCGCGUGCGGGAAGAAGGUCUUCGGAUCGUAAACCGCUUUUAUCAGGGAAGAGAACGGACGGUACCUGAUGAAUCAGUCUCGGCUAACUACGUGCCAGCAGCCGCGGUAAAACGUAGGAGGCAAGCGUUAUCCGGAUUUACUGGGCGUAAAGCGUGUGCAGGCGGCUCUCUAAGUCAUGUGUGAAAGCGCUCCGCUUAACGGGGCGAGGCCAUGUGAGACUGGGGGGGCUAGAAUCAGACAGAGGCAAGCGGAAUUCCGGGUGUAGUGGUGAAAUGCGUAGAGAUCCGGAGGAACACCAGAGGCGCAGGCGGCUUGCUGGGUCUGUAUUGACGCUCAGACACGAAAGCAUGGGGAGCGAACGGGAUUAGAAACCCCGGUAGUCCAUGCCGUAAACGAUGUGAACUAGGC